GAUGCCAGAGCACAGGCUCCGGGCCCUGGACGACCGAGUAGAAAAGACGGGAACGGGCCCUGCCCCCGAGUCUGCAGAAGGCCGCGGUGUUCCGGAAUCGGGGAAGGCCCACCUUCCACUGGUUUCCCCCGACUUCUGACCAAUGUAACCUUAUGCCCCUAGGCCUGCUUUCCUCCGCCUCCAGGCUCUCUUUUCACAGUACGACGCAUAAUCUCGCAAAAGUCCUUUUCUUUAGAACAUAAGGUAUGAGCUGACUAUAAAGUCUUUGAAAAUUCAGAACAGAAAACACAGAUUAACCUGCGGUCACGGCAGCGCCACCCCCGUAAGUAACCGCUCUUGACACUUCUUUUGAUGGCUCCAGAAAUCUGGGAGAAGUGGCUCCACUUGCGGCUGCCUGUCAGCAGCAGAUCAAUAAGGCCCGGCCGCCACCGUCCUGGAGACUGUUGCUACUUGGAGUCCCGCGGAGCCACGGCGGUGCUGACUGCAGCCUGCUAUGUUUGAGGAGGGUGUGCCCUCACCACAUCUCCUGGGGCCUUGCUGACCCUGCCCUACCAGACGGACGCAGGACCAUGGGAUACUCACUCAUCCACCGUGAAGCACACCAGGCGCCGGGGGAGGCCGUGGGCCCGCUGCUUCUCCAGGGCCUCCCGCCCCAGGAAGGGGACAGCCGACUUGAGCUUGCAGGUGAAGGCCAAGCCUGCCUCCAGGGGACUGUCAUCUGGGCGCAGGUCGGCAUGCCAGUGCCGGUAGCCUGUGGGGAGGAGAACCCGGGCUCAACACCCAGCAGAGGUGGGGGACAGGCUCAUCCGAAGACCCCAGGGGUGUAUGUCAUCCUUGCUGCCGAAGGUCCCCUGGGCAAGCCCUCAGGAACAGACGCCCCUUCCGACCUCUGCACUGCCCGUUGAGGCGCUGGAGAGGCACCUGGGCAGCACUGCCCAGAUAUUCUUCAAACCUCCUGGGGAAGCCCAAGCACUGAGUCCAAAUUCAGCUCCACAAGGCCGGCUCCCUGGCCCCUGCGAGAAGUGUCCCGGGGCAGGAUUCCGGGACGCAUGGGGUGCCCACUGACCACGCCCUCAGCUGCACCCCAUCUUCGAAUGCUCCCGCCCUUGUGGAGCUCAUCUCCCACCUACCCCUGGCCCCCAGGGCUCCUGGGGACUCCCAGCUCCCUGAGGCAGGACGGGGUCCUCCCAGCAGGCCACACAGCAGGCAGCAGCAACCUGCAGAGAGUGGCAGGGAGGAGGAGGGAUGAGACGACGGGCGUGUGACACUGCCAGGUGCCGUGUCGGGAUUCUGCAUAAAUAUGCUCCAGCUGGGCACUGACCAGGACAGUAAAAUUCACUGCAGGACAGUAAAUCUGUGUGUUUGGAGGGUUGGGUGUUGUACAGAGUGAGGCAGUGCCCCGGCCCUGGGCGCUGGUUCUCAGGGUCCCCUGCAGGCGGAUGAGCUUCCAGCCGGCAGGAGAGACAAAGACGUCUCUGCUGACAACCCCAGGACAUGUGUUCCAAGGUAGCCAGGCAGCAGGGAGAUGGGGGACCCCCGUCCAAGGGCAGAGCCCCUGCCUGCCCAGCACAGGCGUGCUUGCUCCCCAGCCCAGAGGCCACCAUCCUCUCCACCACCUUGUCUUCCUCACAUUCGUUUUGCCAAGACUCCAUCUCCCUGCUGUGAACGCCUGGGACCUUCCACAUCCCCAUGCUUGCCGCCUGGGGCCCUCUCUACGACACAGGGUAGGCUGUGCUGCAGGGUCCUUCCCGCACCUGCCCCCACCCCCACUUCCAUCCCAGCUGGGGCAAGAGCUCAUGGCGAGAAGGGGCCCACCUCUUCCAUCCCAGAGCCUCCGGGCCCCCGCUCCGUGCCUGGCAUCUGCGGGUCUCCCAGCCAACAUGUCCCAAAUUAAGUCCACAGCCAGGUAGGGGUGAGGGGAAACGGGGAGGGCAGAGGUGGGAAGAGGACCCGCCCAGCCCUGGGAAUAGAUCCACGGUUUAGACUAAGGGUAAGAGCUCAGAUGAGAACCAGGACAGACCCAUUGUGGGCCAAGGGUGUCCAUCUCCUGAGGGCGGGACCCGGCAUAGGGGGCUCUGUGCUUUUGUACCUGCGCCCUCCCAAAGGCCUAGGAGAGCACCAGGCCGGCGUGGGGUGGGGGGUGGAAACACAGAGAACACCAAAUGAUGAGCAAGAACACAGCAUGGAAUGACCCGGAAGGCCAGGACUGUGUACCUGGGGCACCUGUCUCCAGGUCUGUCUCUGGGCCUGAGGAACCUGCCGUAGGUCAAUAAUCAGACUCAUAGAAGGAGCACCGUGGACGGGGAGCUCAUCACUGGGCUAUUCCCAGAGUGCUGCCCAAGGAGCUGAGAGAGGGUCAAAGGGGUUCUCAGGGAGUGUUUAGAGGACUCAGAGGACUGCUAGACCCGGGUGCCUGGGGAACUCAGCGGUUAAGCAUUGGCCUUCAACUCAAGU